CUCGAGGUGUGGUGGGAAGGAACUGUCUGGGUCCUCACUUGACACCUGCACCUUAGCCUGGCUCCAAGGGAAAGUCCUCAACUCAGGUGGCUGAGAAAAGCAGAUGUUCCCUGCAGCAAAGUGUAAAGCAUUUGCUUGGGGGUGGGUGGGGUGGAACGGGAAUGUUUUAUGAGUCUUUGGCUGGGACUUUCAGAUUUGAAUGUUAUACAAAGGAAGUCAUCUGGUGGCAGAACAAAUGAUCUCAGCAGACUUCUCUAUGUGAGGGGACCAAUUUUGUCAUUGGGGCUGGAGAACCUGUUUUGCCAUGUGUCAUUUUAAGUCAGAAAGACUCUGGGAGUUUCUGGAGCCAUUUCGGGAACGUCAGAUGCAUAGUUGGUCUACCCAAGGGAAUGGUUCACUAAAACCAGAUGUAGCCGCUUGGGAGAAGAAGGCUCAGUCCAGUCCCAUCUUCUUUCCUGUUUAGGAGAACUGGAGAUAGUAAGUGGGGAUGUCUAAACAAAGGCUCCUACCCUAAUAAAACAUUCAUAAAAAUGCCA
rnacentral:lncRNA from 1 species